rnacentral:rRNA from 1 species
AAAGCGUGCGCAGGCGGUUUUGUAAGUCUGUCGUGAAAUCCCCGGGCUCAACCUGGGAAUUGCGAUGGAGACUGCAAGGCUAGAAUCUGGCAGAGGGGGGUAGAAUUCCACGUGUAGCAGUGAAAUGCGUAGAGAUGUGGAGGAACACCGAUGGCGAAGGCAGCCCCCUGGGUCAAGAUUGACGCUCAUGCACGAAAGCGUGGGGAGCAAACAGGAUUAGAUACCCCUGU